rnacentral:lncRNA from 1 species
UUUCCUCUCUGAAGGCCAGAAUCUUAGUCUUCAUAAAUUACCAAUUCUCUUUUCACCCUGAGAGCCAACUAGCAAAGCUCUGGUAUUGUUUUAAAGAAAUUCAGAGACUGGUUUAUAAAUUAAAAGGACGGGUCUAUAGAACUAUUUAAAAUGGAUUUAUUUUUCUAACAAAAAAUAUGCCGAGAAUCAGGAACAGACUCUCUCCAAGGUCCAACCAUCCUCCAAAUCCUUCAUCUGAGAGCCAUAAAAGGACCUUGAAGAAACGGUGUGGGCAGAUGACCUGCCAAGAAGGCUGUUGAGAGGAGGAAUACACACACAUCAUGCCGUAUCUAGUUAUACUGGUGUAAAUCAAGAGUGACUCCAUUAUUUACAAGUGUGUAAAUGAGAUCUGAAUAUGGCCUGUCUAUUGUAAAUUUAAGAAGCAGUGAAGUGAUUCAUUAAAUUGAUCUUUAAAUGCCUCGGAAAAAUAAGAGCAGCUUAGUUACGUUUGUGAAAAACAGCUGAUUGAUAUGGACAACUUCUAGACAAGCUAG